rnacentral:rRNA from 1 species
GGAUGCAAUCAUACUAGCAAUAAUGCACCGGAUCCCAUCAGAACUCCGAAGUUAAGCUUGCUUGGGCGAGAGCAGUACUAGGAUGGGUGACCUCCUGCGAAGUCCUCGUGUUGCACCCCUC